AUUGAACGCUGGCGGCAGGCCUAACACAUGCAAGUCGAGCGGAGCGGCGGACGGGUGAGUAAUGCCUAGGAAUCUGCCUGGUAGUGGGGGAUAACGUCCGGAAACGGGCGAUAAUACCGAAUACUAGCAGAUGAGCCUAGGUCGGAUUAGCUAGUGGGGGGGGUAAAGGCCUACGAAGGCGACGAUCCGUAACUGGUCCGAGAGGAUGAUCCGUCAGACUGGAACUGAGACACGGUCCAGACUCCUACGGGAGGCAGCAGCGUGGAAUAUUGGACAAUGGGCGAAAGCCUGAUCUAGACAUGCCGCGUGUGUGAAGAAGGUGUUCGGAUUGUAAAGCCCUUUAAGUUGAGAGGCGUUACCAACAGAAUAAGCACCGGCUAACUUCGUGCCAGCAGCCGCGGUAAUAC
rnacentral:rRNA from 1 species